CACUACCAUGCAUUUACUUGUCGACAUGAUUCUGACCGUAAUAUUAUUAUUUUUUUUUAGUAAAACCACUAUGUUUGGUAUGUUUAAUAUAUUUUAUACGUCAAAAUCUCUCUCUGUGCUAGCGUGUGAUUCUGCGGUUUGUUCACAUGGGCAGUCACAGUUUAGUUCAACUAUAGAGGAUUAAAGCAGUUUUUGUUUAGAAACUCCAAAGACAAUCAGGAAAGCUCAAGUAAGUCACAUCUGUAGGUCUCUAUCAUCUAAUACAUGGAUCCAUAUGUUGUCUGCUAAAUAUUCAUCUGAUGUUCUACUGAUAGAACUGGUUUUAAUGUUUUUUAUAUGCUUUUGAUUUCAUUGAUUAGAAGUAUGUCUUGUUUCGGCUUAUUUAUUGAUCUCAUAAAGACAAAUUCGACAUUUAUUUUAGCAAAUAAAUAAGUUCGUUCAUUCUUCAGCAUUUUAAGCUUUUAGACGGAGAGUAUGAGUUCAAAUCUUGUCCACUUCUAUUUAUGAAAAUUAUGCACCAAGNUUGGCUCAGAGAAUCUUGAAAGAAAAACACUACUUCAAAGUGAAAUGAUUUUUAGGCCCAAAAAGUUUUCAAACGGUAAACGCAGUAUUCCAGAGAGUUCAUAAAUAAUGUGUAUUGGGGUCUUUUAUUAAAGUUACAGCUUUGAAGGAAAAAAUUUCAUAUUUUUUAAGAAAAAUUUUAUUCCUUUUUACUUGUCCACUUGAAAAAGGCUGCAUUUCUGCUGUCUAAACAAGUGAUUAAGGGCCAUCAUUGCUGUUGAUGAUGAUCUUUCUCUCUCUCUCUCUCCCUCCCUCUCUCUCUCUUUUCCUCUUUGUAAAAAAGUCAUGAUCUUUAAAGAUUUCUUUGAUCGUUCACUUUAUUGACCAGUCCAGUUUAACACCACGUAUACUCUAAUUGUUUACUACUCAAUCAAAUUUAUCUAUGAUGGGUCCUUCUUUUUGAUUUUCUAAGAUUUGGUUCCGGGACGUUCAAUGGGGAAUGCAUCAGAUCCGGUAUCCAAGCCAGAAAUGAUAAUGUGAUAAAGAUUGAUAAUAUAUGUUGAAAUGUCAACUGAGACUCACCCUCGCCAUAAAUGUUUAUCCCUUUUCUUAAAAUUUGAAUCUUCGCGUAUAUCUAAAAAUUACUUGAAUGGAGUGAUGAAAAAGGUUCCAUGUAGGCAUGUAGCCGAUGCUAGAUUUACUGUUGCGGGAACCUCACUCAGUUAUUCUGUUGUUUCUUUAAAUCUUGACUUUGGGCUGACGAAUAAAAUAUCUUUAAAGAUUUAUCUGUGCAACAAAAGAAUGUAGAAAGAUGUUGACUAUUCUAUGUAUAAUCAAGUUGAGAUUAAUCUAUUUAGACUUGAUUGGCUUUGAUACCUGGACAGAUGUCCCUUUCAUGUAGAGAAUUCUUUCUGUUAACAAUCUGGAGCUCUACAAGUAAUGAAACUAAGCAUAUGUUUGGAAAUGUGUUUAUAGACUGAUAGAAAUGAAUUGUCGAGAAGUAUGUAUCCUUGUAAAAGUGAUUUGCCCAAAAACGUUUUCUUGCCAAACAUAUAUAUGUGUUUAUAAAAAUUGAAAUGAUGUUUAAUGAACUUGAUAAUUUGAAUUUUGUAUCAAGUACUUAAAUUGUUUGUAUAAAUCAAGACCGUUUGAUGAUGCAUGUAUGCAGAAAACAUGGUACUUUACUCCCUGCACGAUAAAUCUUAUAUUGUUUAUGACUUCAAAUCGAGGCAUUUGAAGUAAGAUAUCACUUCAGCAUGUGGUAGAAAAUGUACAUCCGUAUGAUAUCACAUAAUAGGCUUUUUUGGAUUGUUAAAUAGUUUUGUUUGAUGAGAUUUUUGUUUCUCUUCUUUGCAGAGUCAUGGAUAAUGGCAUUCGAGAGAGACUGCUUGGUUCAGAAGGAAAAGAGGUGGGCAAUUUGAAAGGGAAGGUUUAUGAUGAAUCCAAGAAGAUAUGGAGGGUAGCGUUGCCUGGAAUUAUAGC
rnacentral:lncRNA from 1 species